rnacentral:rRNA from 1 species
GACGAACGCUGGCGGCGUGCUUAACACAUGCAAGUCGAACGCUGAAGCUCAGCUUGCUGGGUGGAUGAGUGGCGAACGGGUGAGUAACACGUGAGUAACCUGCCCUCUUCUUUGGGAUAACGCCCGGAAACGGGUGCUAAUACUGGAUAUUCACUGAUUCUCGCAUGGGGGUUGGUGGAAAGGUUAUUUCUGGUGGGGGAUGGGCUCGCGGCCUAUCAGCUCGUUGGUGGGGUGAUGGCCUACCAAGGCUUUGACGGGUAGCCGGCCUGGGAGGGUGACCGGUCACAUUGGGACUGGGAUACGGCCCAGACGGCUACGGGAGGCAGCAGUGGGGAAUAUUGCACAAUGGGCGAAAGCCUGAUGCAGCGACGCCGCGUGAGGGAUGGAGGCCUUCGGGUUGUAAACCUCUUUCGCUCAUGGUCAAGCCGCAGCUUUGGGUUGUGGUGAGGGUAGUGGGUAAAGAAGCGCCGGCUAACUACGUG